UCUUAACAUUUGCUCUAAUUGCUGUCUAACUUCAGAGCUGAUUUAAUGUGUGUAGCAGUAGUAGUCACAAAGAAAAUACCAGAAUCUAAAUAAUUAAAAAAAACCCCAAAGCCUUUAUGUGUAAAAGGAGAGAUUUCAAUAUGUGCAGAGAUUUUUAGGCUCUGGCUUUAAAACAGUGUAAUCAUAGAAACAACAAAACUGGCCAUCAGAAUAAGGGAAGUGGUAUCCUGCAAACCAGAAUUACAGAGUGGUUUGGGUUGGAAGGGACCUUAAAGAUCAUCUGCCAUGGCCAGGGAUGCCACCCACUAGCCUGGGUUGAUCAAAGCCCUAUCCAACCUGGUCUUGAACACUUCCAGGGAUGGUGCAUCCAGAGCUUCUCUAGGCUGGAAAGCAAGCAGACUACAAAUUACUUUCUAAUUGACUUCUUAAUGUGUUUAAGUUUGUUUGUUAAUCUCAGAUAAAUCUUAGUUCAGUUUUUCUGUUGUUAUGGUUUAUUACAAUGAUAAGGAACUCAGGUAGCACUUCUGGAAACAGAUACUACGAAACCCUAUAAUAUUUUAUCUGUAUUGUCCAAGAAAGAAAAGUGAGCAGCUCUGAUGAGGUGGUCGCUGUUGUAACCCAGCAGGGAACCAUAUGAAGACAUGUUUUCAUGGCAUGUCCAGGUUGCAGCUGUACUAUUUUGAAAGGCUUUGAAGUCCUGUUUGCUGAAGUCACUUGGGCAACCAAAGUCCCAGUGACUUUCAGGCAGAUGGGAACGCCUGGAUUCCCCUUCAUCUAAAGAUUCCUGAAUACUACAUCUGAGGUCAAAUGUUUUUGAGCAUCUGCAGUCAGCCACCAUGUUGUGUCCCUGUGAUUCUGCAACACCAUUGUGCCAGAAAUACCUGUCAGUGUCAGGAUGACCAGGAAGGGGUACCACACAAGGCUGCAACUGAACAAGAGCCAAGGUUCAGCUCAGGUGGAAUUAUACUCAAGGCAGUAGUUUGCACCUGGGUGCUGCUGCCUUGGAUUGAAGGCUUACCAAGAUGUUUUCUCCCCUAA
rnacentral:lncRNA from 1 species